rnacentral:rRNA from 1 species
AUUGAACGCUGGCGGCAGGCUUAACACAUGCAAGUCGAGCGGGGUGAUGGUGCUUGCACUAUCACUUAGCGGCGGACGGGUGAGUAAUGCUUAGGAAUCUGCCUAUUAGUGGGGGACAACAUCUCGAAAGGGAUGCUAAUACCGCAUACGUCCUACGGGAGAAAGCAGGGGAUCACUUGUGACCUUGCGCUAAUAGAUGAGCCUAAGUCGGAUUAGCUAGUUGGUGGGGUAAAGGCCUACCAAGGCGACGAUCUGUAGCGGGUCUGAGAAGAUGAUCCGCCACACUGGGACUGAGACACGGCCCAGACUCCUACGGGAGGCAGCAGUGGGGAAUAUUGGACAAUGGGGGGAACCCUGAUCCAGCCAUGCCGCAUGUGUGAAGAAGGCCUUAUGGUUGUAAAGCACUUUAAGCGAGGAGGAGGCUCUUUUGGUUAAUACCCAGAAUGAGUGGACGUUACUCGCAGAAUAAGCACCGGCUAACUCUGUGCCAGCCGCCGCAGUAA